UUUUAAAAAUAUCAUCUUUUUCUAUUGUUAAAAACUGUUAUGGCAGACAGAAUAACCAGAUAGUUACAUGUGAUGUGCCACUUGUACAUCAUGCUAACUUAUAGGAAACAUCUUUUAACAGUAAAAAUGAACAAAAUUUUUAUCA
rnacentral:pre_miRNA from 1 species